AAGCGGGGGCAACCCUGUGAGUAAAGUGGCGUACGGGUGAGUAACACGUGACUAACCUGCCCUUGAGUGGGGAAUAACCUCGGGAAACCGGGGCUAAUACCGCAUAAUACCUACGGGUGCAAACCUGAUGGUCAAACCGGCAACGGGCUUAAGGAGGGGGUCGCGGCUGAUUAGCUAGUUGGCAGGGUAAUGGCCUACCAAGGCGACGAUCAGUAGCUGUCCUGAGAGGGAGCACAGCCACACUGGAACUGAGAACACGGUCCAGACUCCUACGGGAGGCAGCAGUGGGGAAUUUUGCGCAAUGGGGGAAACCCUGACGCAGCAACGCCGCGUGGAGGAUGAAGUCCCUUGGG
rnacentral:rRNA from 1 species